UGCAAUUAGUGGGGAAUUUGCUCAGUGGA
rnacentral:piRNA from 1 species